GCACAGUUCGGGAAUUGGCAUUUGUGUCCGGGUGGCAGGAAUUAACAAGCAUGAGUAACAUCGAUCUCCCUUUAAUGUUUUCUUUGACAUAAACGAGUUGCUUAAAGGAUUUACACUAUCUUAUUAGAAAUGUACCGUUUAGCACUGAUCUGUAUAUUGUACUUUUUCAUUUAUGUAUGUGUUAUAGUUUGCGAUGCAUGCAUGUGACAUAUCAAAUGAAAGGCCACAACAUUUCCGUUAAUGUUAUGUAAGUUGCAACAGGAUCAGACAUACUAUAUGUGGUAGCGAUGAGAAUAUAUGGGGAUUUGCCAUGACAUAACGACUGUAAAAUAAUUCUGACCGUCACAAACGGGCUUUUCAGGCUCAGAAAUCCAGUGACUGUGGAAAAAAUGUUUGUGAGAAUAAAAACAAGUAGACAGCAUCGUUACUUCAGAAAUUACAUUGACUUACCACGGCGUUACUCGUCACCACAGCUACUUGUCUCGGUAUGUGAUGUGGUGAUACCAUAAUUAGAACAUGGCUACACCUCCAGUCGCUGGGGCAGGGUUGCCCUCAGGACCUUUUCCAGGGCAGCAGGGCCAGGCAGCACGGGAAGUGAACACAGCCUCCCUCUGUCGCAUUGGGCAAGAAACAGUGCAGGAUAUAGUCUUCAGAACCAUGGAAAUCUUUCAGCUUUUAAGGAACAUGCAGCUGCCCAAUGGUGUGUCGUACCAUGCAAGCACACAUCAGGACAGGCUGGGAAAGCUUCAGGAACACCUCCGCCAGUUGUCAGUCCUUUUCAGGAAGCUUAGACUAGUGUACGACAAAUGCAACGAGAAUUGUGGCGGGCUGGAUCCUGUCCCUACAGAGCAACUGAUACCAUACAUGGAAGAAGAUAGCUCCAAACAUGACGAUCGCUCCACGAACCAGUUCCGAUGUGCCAGUGAAGAGAGACGGGAGGUGAUGGAGGUAAAUAAGGAGGUUGUGUGGUCCGAUGGUUAAUGAAAAGGGCUUGUAACCAGGAGGUCCCUGGUUCAAAUACCGGCUCACUGCGUGAUCCUGAGCAAGUCACUUAACCUCCUUGUGCUCCAUCUUUCAGAAGCUAAAACAGAAGAACCAACAGCUGAAGCAAAUAAUGGAUCAGCUCCGGAAUCUCAUCUGGGAAAUAAAUGCCAUGCUGGCUAUGAGAAACUGAUGUGCAAGCAGCAUCCGCGUAAUCCUCAAGAAAGCUUCUACAAGUUCAUUGCAAGUGUUUGAAUACAUAGAAGAAAUGCUCUGGUUCAAAGGAAAAUAUGUAAUUUAUAUUCAAGGAGAGACUGAUGUGUAAACAGUGACAUGAAGAGGUGUAGGCAUAUCCUUUUAUAUUGUUUUUUUCAAGCAGCACUAAGAGCAUGCGUAUAAUAUGAAGAAUGUGUAAAUCUUAGUCUGUUUCAAUAGUGGUUUUAUAUUAUGUUGGUAUAUAAAGUAUUAGAAUGUCAAUAUCAGUCUAAAGUUGUUAAACUGUUACUACUUUUAAUUAUAUUUUUGUUGUCUGUGCAAUUCCAUUAUUGUUUUUUUUUUGUUGGUUUGUUCAGGAAGUUCUACCCACCAGUCGCUACAUUUUUAAGUGCAGGAAGAAAGGUUUGCCUCAUGUUCGCACAACAUUUUGAUAAGUCGUUUUUCAUUUCCUGUACCUUUUUUUUCAGACUUUGUUUUCAACUUAGAGUAAGUAACUGGGUUCCAAAAAAAUAUAGCAUUACACGUCCCCACAUGUAGCUACAGAUGUUUAAAUAACAUAUCUGUAAUUUUUCUUAUCAGUGUUAACAUUCUGACAUCGUUUUACACUUAUAUCUUUAAAAUCUGUUUUAAAGCUAUUUUCAAAAUGGCUGUUGGGAUUUGAGAUCGGUCCUCUCUAAAUUACUGCAGGAAGAGUGAUUACAUCUAAAAAAAAACAUAAGUGCUCUGGCUAUUCUGUUCCAGCAUUAGCAUAGAUAUUGUUCCCAAAUGCACUUAUUAUUGGUGUAUUUAACACUAGAACCUUCACGGCAGUCAUUUUGACAGUUUGAGGUUUUUAAAUUUAAAUUCUGCGUGUCUGAAAGUUAUACGUUUGUCCGUUUGUGACUUUUCCUAAAUACAUGUAUUAAAUACCCUGACGGUGUUCGAAAGGCAGGAUCACGAAAAUAAAGAAGUUAUGAUCCUGCUCAUGUAGAACCGCCAAAGCAGUCAUUUUGACUGCCUUUUACAAUACAUGUUUCUAUUGUGAAUAUAACCUACAAUAUUCUAUUUGUUUUUAUAUACAAGCCUGUUGUUAUCUCUGCUGGACCUGGCAGCCAUCAAUUCCUUCAUUUUGUACAAUAAAUGCACUGGGGAAAAUAUCAUUAGGAGAGAUUUCAUCUUGAAGCUAGCCACAGCAGGCUGCUGCAGCUCAACCUGGAUUCUUUGCUGCACCGAGUGACACACGCAAGAGAAAACAUAUGUUACUUUCGUUUUAAAUUUUAAAAAAAAAUAAAAAUGUUUUUACAGUUUUGUAUGUACAUAUACCUGUUUACUCACUAGAUUAUUUUAAAAUGAUUAUUUUAUUAUAGUUUUUCAUUUUUUGAAGUAGUGCUUUAUACGUGGCAAGUUAGAAAAUAAAGCAUUUUAUGUUUAAUUAUUCAUUUAAAUACAGUGUUUCAGCUGUGCAGGUGUUUGAUAUGACGUGCUUGAAUAAAACUUUUGAGUUGUAUCCGAUAGUUUGUCUUUCAUUUUAAUACUGAUGAGGUUUAAAACGUAACCGUCAUAAUGACUGCCGGUAGUUCUAGUGUUAAUGAAAAAAGAACUGCCUUGAUGUCAUUUGGUUGUUUUCUGUUAUCUAUGAAAAGUAAAUUGAUUUGGCUAUUUGCAUUUCACUUUUACUCUUUAUUUAUGCUAGCUUGCUUUCAUUUUAUAAUAACUCUUGCGUCUGCACGUCUUUAUUCUCUAUUAACGUAUCUAAAGAGUGUUUUGCUAAAGUUGUUUCUCUCUUUCUCCUGUAUCUGUGGCUGAGAAGAGUUUUAAAGUCUAUGCUAAGCUAUCCACAGCAGGGCUUAACCUGUGUGACUGGGUCACUUGUUGCUGUGUUACCUGUUUGACAAUGUGGGCAAUAUUCCUUACACUAUCAGCGCAUUACAGCAGACAUUUUGAAAAUAGCUUUGAAAGUUAUAAGUGUAAAAAGUUGUCAGGAUGUUAACAGUGAAAAGAAAAAUGACAGGUAUAUUAUUUAAACAGUUGUAGCAACACGUGGUGACAUGUAACGCUAUAUUUUACUCUUUAAGCCAAUGUAUCCUACCACCAUAUAAUAAAUGUAUUUCCUGUGCAGCAAGUAUAACAAAUACAAUGUGUAGCAAAGAGUUUGUGGGCUCCUGCUGUGCCUUACUAUAUAGUGUGAUGGAAAGUAAAUUGCUCAGUAAAUUAUGAGACUACAGUUAUGCAAAUUAAAGUAUUUAUUAUUA